rnacentral:snoRNA from 1 species
AAAAAAGCAGGAUGUUGUUCUCUAUGUAAGCAGUAUCCUCGUAAACUUUAGGAAUAUCAUUGUCAUUGUUAUUGGUUGAACCGGUGGACUUAAACUUGAUGUCUAUUGGUUCAGUAAACGGUGACAUAUUU